rnacentral:rRNA from 1 species
UGGGGGAUAUUGCACAAUGGACGGAAGUUUGAUGCAGCGACGCCGCGUGGAGGGUGUAGGCCUUCGGGUUGUGAACUCCUUUUUCUCGCGAAAAAGGCACAGUUUUGGCUGUGUUGAUGGUAGUGGGGGAAGAAGCGCCGGCUAACUACGUGCCAGCAGCCGCGGUAAUACGUAGGGCGCGAGCGUUGUCCGGAUUUAUUGGGCGUAAAGAGCUCGUAGGUGGUUCGUCGCGUCUGUCGUGAAAGCCAGCAGCUUAACUGUUGGUCUGCGGUGGGUACGGGCGGGCUUGAGUGCGGUAGGGGUGACUGGAAUUCCUGGUGUAGCGGUGGAAUGCGCAGAUAUCAGGAGGAACACCGAUGGCGAAGGCAGGUCACUGGGCCGUUACUGACACUGAGGGGCGAAAGCGUGGGGAGCGAACAGG